UACGUAGGGUGCGAGCGUUAAUCGGAAUUACUGGGCGUAAAGUGUGCGCAGGCGGCCGAGCAAGUCGAGUGUGAAAGCCCCGAGCUUAACUUGGGAACUGCGCUCGAAACUACUUGGCUAGAGUGUGGCAGAGGGAGGUGGAAUUCCACGUGUAGCGGUGAAAUGCGUAGAGAUGUGGAGGAACACCGAUGGCGAAGGCAGCCUCCUGGGUCAACACUGACGCUCAUGCACGAAAGCGUGGGGAGCAAACAGG
rnacentral:rRNA from 1 species